rnacentral:lncRNA from 1 species
UUAGGAUUUAAGAUUUGUUUAUAGUUUAAUUUAGAAUUUAUUUAAAGUUUGAUUUAGGAUUUAGGAUUUAUUUAGGAUUUAGGAUUUGUCUAGGCUUUGAUUUAGGAUUUAGAAUUUGCAUAGGAUUUAAUUUAGGAUUUAGAGUUUGAUUUAGGAUUUAAAAUUUGUUUAGGAUUUAGAAUUUUUUUAGGAUUUGAAUUAGGAUUUAGGAUUUAUUUAAGACUUAAGGUUUUUUAAGGUUUAUUUAGGACUUAGAAUUUAGGAUUUUUUUAAGAUUUGGUUUAGAAUUUAGAGUUUAUUUAGGACUUAGAAUUCGUCUAAGAUUUAAUUUAGAAUUUAAGAUUUAGAAUUUAGUUAGGAUUUGAUCUA